ACAAGGAGGUUUCUUUAGCUUUGAAAAUCAACAGCUCGUACAGUAAGAGAAGGCUGCCAAAAAUUCAUGAGAAUGUGAAGGUCUCCAUGAAAAACUUGUAAUUAUUGAUUACAAGAUUUGCUACAUUGGAGGAUUAGAUUUAUGCUUUGGUCGGUAUGACACACCUGAACAUAAAGUGGGUGACUGCCCUUCUGUAAUAUGGCCUGGAAAGGACUACUACAACCCUAGGGAAUCUGAGCCAAAUUCAUGGGAAGACACCAUGAGAGAUGAAUUGAAUCGCAAGAAAUAUCCCCGUAUGCCGUUGCAUGAUGUCCAUUGUGCUCUUUGGGACCUCCCUGUCGUGACAUUGCUCGUCAUUUUGUCCAACGUCGGAACCAUGCUAAGGUAUACAAAAUUAUGUUAUUUCUUAAAUAUUUACUUUUUAUUAUUGUAUCCGCCCUAUCUUACACAUUGGCAGUA